AUCCGUCACAUCAGUACUCUUCGAAAAACGUUUUUACAGUUUGUUGCUAGUUUUUUUUUCUAAUACUUGUUUGGAAUACGAAGAUUGUACGAUCGAGAAAUGUUCGUUCUCGAUUCCCCCGUUUUUGAAUCUAUUUUUCAGCGCACGAUGCUUCAAAAUUACACGGGAAAUGACUCCAGUCUCCUUGGCGCAGUUUCAACUCGAUCUGCAGUGUCGGCAUUAAGAAACCAAUAAAGGAGGAGCAGUCGCACAAUAACUUUGAAAAUUGGCUGAGAGCAUUGGAUUCGAGCUGAUCAACUGAAGGAUUAAUUAGUUGCGAGGAAGGAAUACACUCAGCAUGUCGGUGCGGACAGCAAAACCCAAUUUCCGGAAAGUUCGCAGCGUUGUAUACUUUCGUCACGUGGUCUACUCCUCGUCAUUUGGUUGAAAAUGGGAGAAACCGCGAUAAUUUCCCUGUCGCAUUAGCACGGAAGACAGUUCCUCAAAGUUGGUCCAUCCAAUUAGUUCGGAUAAUUCAGAGUGAGUCUGCAAGGGAGAGAGAGAGAGGUUGAGUGGCUUGUAGCAAAGAAGCUCGUUCUCCGUCCUCUUCUCAAGUUGAUAAACCGAGCCAUGCAGUGUUCAAUUAGCCUCUGGCCAGCAAUUGGCUUAGCAAGAGUCUCGUGUUUACUUGUGAGGAUUGUCUGGCGCAGGGUGAGCCUGAAAAACCCUUGAAAAUGUCAAUAAAAGGUAAAACUUUUGUACCGAGAAGGAAGAGCGAGUAAGAAAAGUCGAUAAAACGUUUGUGUUUGGGCCGAUAUUAAUUUGCCUGGAACAAAGGUCGUUGAGCGAAAUGGCGGGAAGAGCUUUUCGUUCGCCACAAACCAAUUUUAUUCCAUCGUCAAACGACAAGUUUCGAAGCAAUCGGCGGGCCACGCGGUACGUGCCUCUCGGAAACGAGGAGAAUGAAAACUGAGGAAGAAAGAAAAACGAGAAGGAACGGCACAGGAGGAGGGGGAGAAAAAGGUGCGGAAAGAGGAUGUGCCUGGGUAUGCUAUGUCAGCUCAGCAUGGAAUAAGGCGAUGGAGGAAGAAGAAUUUUUUCCCACAGCAUAUAAAAAACAUAAUUCGCGUCUGGAAAUACGAUUGGUCGUCCCCCAACACUCGACGUUCUCCAACUAUAAAUAUCUACAUUACGAAAUUCUACUCACUCCUUCUAUUAUUCGUCGUUUCACCGCACUUGACAUUCCCUCGGAGGGAGAGAGCGCUGUGUCGCGGAAAAUACUGCGUUACCGUAUAGCUUGAAAAUGAAAAUGUAGCACGGCGUGCUUCUCUCGCUCGUUCCAAUAACUCGCGAAGGAAAACGCGAGGGAACGAACAGCCUGGGCUCGACUUCUCUCACAGCAUCCCUGAAGUGACAGAUGCGCGCCUUCCGUGCUGCAGACCCGUCGUACGUGCUGUCACGAACGGCGUUACUUUACAGGCGUUCUCUUACAAUAUACGUAUGUACAGACACAUUAUGGAUUUGACUUAUUCGCAAGCGCUCGGAGCAACCUCGUGUCGUGUAAGACGUGGUAAUACGCGGCUUACUCUUGUUCUAUCUCGAUCAUUCCACGUCUCAGGCAUCGUAAAAUAUACUGAAAUUUUACCUGAUUUCAUA
rnacentral:lncRNA from 1 species